GACGAACGCUGGCGGCGUGCUUAACACAUGCAAGUCGAACGGAAAGGCCUCAGCUUGCUGGGGUACUCGAGUGGCGAACGGGUGAGUAACACGUGGGCGAUCUGCCUUGCACUCUGGGAUAAGCUUGGGAAACUGGGUCUAAUACCGGAUAUGAACUGCCUUUAGUGUGGUGGUUGGAAAGUUUUUUCGGUGCAAGAUGAGCUCGCGGCCUAUCAGCUUGUUGGUGGGGUAAUGGCCUACCCAGGCGUCGACGGGUAGCCGGCCUGAGGGGGUGUACGGCCACAUUGGGACUGAGAUACGGCCCAGACUCCUACGGGAGGCAGCAGUGGGGAAUAUUGCACAAUGGGCGGAAGCCUGAUGCAGCGACGCCGCGUGGGGGAUGACGGCCUUCGGGUUGUAAACUCCUUUCGACAGGGACGAAGCUUUUUGUGACGGUACCUGUAUAAGAAGCACCGGCUAACUACGUG
rnacentral:rRNA from 1 species